rnacentral:tRNA from 2 species
GCUCUCGUAGUUCAAUGGAUAGAAUAGGCCCGUCCUAAGGGUUAGAUGUAGGUUCGAUUCCUACCGAGAGUA